rnacentral:rRNA from 1 species
GGCUCAGAUUCAACGCUGGCGGCGUGCCUAACACAUGCAAGUCGAACGAGAAAGUCCCCGCAAGGGGAUGAGUAAAGUGGCGAACGGGUGAGUAACACGUAGCUAACUUGCCUUCGAGUGGGGGAUAACCUGGGGAAACCCGGGCUAAUACCGCAUAACGCCCCGGGAGCACAUGCUUCUGGGGUCAAAGGCCCGCAAGGGUCGCUGGAGGAGGGGGCUGCGGCCGAUUAGCUAGUUGGUGAGGUAAUGGCCCACCAAGGCGAUGAUCGGUAGCCGGCCUGAGAGGGCGCACGGUCACACUGGCACUGAAACACGGGCCAGACUCCUACGGGAGGCAGCAGUGGGGAAUUUUGCACAAUGCCCGAAAGGGUGAUGCAGCAACGCCGCGUGAGGGAUGAAGGCCUUCGGGUCGUAAACCUCUUUCGACUGGGAAAAACGGGCGGGUGAAUAAUCCGUCCUGAUGGUACCGGUGGAAGAAGCCCCGGCUAACUACGUGCCAGCAGCCGCGGUAAUACGUAGGGGGCGAGCGUUGUUCGGAAUUAUUGGGCGUAAAGGGCGUGUAGGCGGUGCGGUAAGUCGGGCGUUAAAUCUCCAGGCUUAACUUGGAGGGGCCGUCCGAAACUGCCGUGCUAGGGUGCGGGAGAGGGCAGUGGAAUUCCCGGUGUAGCGGUGAAAUGCGUAGAUAUCGGGAGGAACAUCUGUGGCGAAGGCGGCUGCCUGGACCGCAACCGACGCUGAGGCGCGAAAGCUAGGGGAGCAAACAGGAUUAGAUACCCUGGUAGUCCUAGCCCUAAACGAUGAGCACUGGGUGUGGCCCUGCACGGGGCUGUGCCGAAGCUAACGCAUUAAGUGCUCCGCCUGGGGAGUACGGUCGCAAGGCUGAAACUCAAAG